rnacentral:rRNA from 1 species
CUGAGUACGGCGGAACACGUGAAAUUCCGUCGGAAUCCGGGAGGACCAUCUCCCAAGGCUAAAUACUCCCUAGUGACCGAUAGUGAACCAGUACCGUGAGGGAAAGGUGAAAAGCACCCCGGAAGGGGAGUGAAACAGUUCCUGAAACCGUGUGCCUACAAGUAGUUAGAGCCCGUUAAUGGGUGAUAGCGUGCCUUUUGUAGAAUGAACCGGCGAGUUACGAUUUGUUGCAAGGUUAAGCGGAAAAAGCGGAGCCGUAGCGAAAGCGAGUCUGAAUAGGGCGCAUAAGUAACAGGUCGUAGACCCGAAACCAGGUGAUCUACCCAUGUCCAGGAUGAAGGUAAGGUAAUACUUACUGGAGGUCCGAACCCACGCACGUUGAAAAGUGCGGGGAUGAGGUGUGGGUAGCGGAGAAAUUCCAAUCGAACUUGGAGAUAGCUGGUUCUCUCCGAAAUAGCUUUAGGGCUAGCCUCGAGGUAAAGAGUCAUGGAGGUAGAGCACUGUUUGGACUAGGGGCCCUUCUCGGGUUACCGAAUUCAGAUAAACUCCGAAUGCCAUGUACUUAUACUCGGGAGUCAGACUGCGAGUGAUAAGAUCCGUAGUCGAAAGGGAAACAGCCCAGACCACCAGUUAAGGUCCCCAAAUAUAUGUUAAGUGGAAAAGGAUGUGGGGUUGCUUAGACAACCAGGAUGUUGGCUUAGAAGCAGCCACCAUUGAAAGAGUGCGUAAUAGCUCACUGGUCGAGUGACCCCGCGCCGAAAAUGUACCGGGGCUAAACAUAUUACCGAAACUGUGGAUGAACCUCUUUAGAGGUUCGUGGUAGGAGAGCGUUCUAAGGGCGGUGAAGUCAGACCGGAAGGACUGGUGGAGCGCUUAGAAGUGAGAAUGCCGGUAUGAGUAGCGAAAGAAGGGUGAGAAUCCCUUCCACCGAAUAUC